UCAAUCACCACCUCAUGAGUCUCAUUCAAGGGGUCCCGGUAGAGGUCCAACUCACAUGAGUCCCAGGAAAGAUUAUGAACUUUGGACUUUUAAGCAGUAUUUAGAUCGAAAGACUGUGGGGACUUUUUAAGUCAGAUUAAAUACAUUUUGCAGUAUGAUUUGGCUACCAACCUGUGUGGGAGAGCCAGGGCGUAGAAUGUGGUGGUUUGAAUGAGAAUGGCCCUCAUAGGUUCAUAUGUCUACAUGCUUGGUGUCCAGUUGGUUGAACUGUUAAGGAAGGUUUAAGAGUGGCAUUGUCACUGGGGUGGGCUUAGAGGUCUCAAAAGUUUCUUGACAUCCAGUGCUCUCCUUGCUUCCUGUUCAAAUGUGAGUUCUCAGUUGCUCUUGUCAUUGUGCCUUUACUGUUCCACCAUAAUGCAUUUUAAUCCUCUAGAAACUUAAGUCCAAAUAAAUGAUAUUUAAAAAAAAAAAAUAAGAUGCCUUGCAGCCUGGUGCCAUGCAACCCAGGCAGGAAGAAACCCUGAGAUGACCUCACUCCUGAGUCAUGUCGAUCGAACAGACAGACCAUGGUCAAGUCAAACCCUGCCCAGUGUCACAAAGCACAAGGGGGCAUAGCACUCCUGAGACAACCCCAGAUACCCAGAGGGCCUGGGUGUCACUAAGAUGAAGAGGUAGGCCUGCAGAUCCAAGGCUGCAGGAUCAAAGUUGCCUGACACAGGGCAACAAGAGGAUCUCUGAGAAGAGUCCUGGUGAGGAUCCAGGGUUGAUGGUGUAGCAAAAGCCAGAGGCCCGGAACCAGACCAAGGACUCAUUGCAAUGAACUUUUGCAAGUGAAGAUGUGUAGUCAAAAGGGUGUGCUGUAGGACACACUGGGACACACUACAGCUUCCAUGAUGAGAUUUUUACUUUUUUUUUUCCUUUUGUUGGGGGAGACUGCAAGGGUGGGACAGGAAGAUGAGUGGGAUUGGGAUGUAUGAUGUGAAAUUUACAAAGAAUCAAUAAAAAGUUAAAAAAAAAUAA
rnacentral:lncRNA from 1 species